AGAUUGAAAUAUGCAGCCGAUGUUGAUAAUAUGGGGAGUGGAAGAUCAAGUUUUUCCGGUGGAAUUAGCUCAUAGAUUGCAAAGAUAUUUAGGGGAAGACAGAGCACAACUGGUGUUACUAAAAAA